GGGGAACUUGAGUGCAGAAGAGGAGAGUGGAAUUCCACGUGUAGCGGUGAAAUGCUAUAGAGAUGUGGAGGAACACCAGUGGCGAAGGCGACUCUCUGGUCUGUAACUGACGCUGAGGAGCGAAAGCGUGGGGAGCGAACAGGAUUAGAUACCCUGGUAGUCCACGCCGUAAACGAUGAGUGCUAAGUGUUAGGGGGUUUCCGCCCCUUAGUGCUGCAGCUAACGCAUUAAGCACUCCGCCUGGGGAGUACGGUCGCAAGACUGAAACUCAAAGGAAUUGACGGGGGCCCGCACAAGCGGUGGAGCAUGUGGUUUAAUUCGAAGCAACGCGAAGAACCUUACCAGGUCUUGACAUCCUCUGACAAUCCUAGAGAUAGGACGUCCCCUUCGGGGGCAGAGUGACAGGUGGUGCAUGGUUGUCGUCAGCUCGUGUCGUGAGAUGUUGGGUUAAGUCCCGCAACGAGCGCAACCCUUGAUCUUAGUUGCCAGCAUUCAGUUGGGCACUCUAAGGUGACUGCCGGUGACAAACCGGAGGAAGGUGGGGAUGACGUCAAAUCAUCAUGCCCCUUAUGACCUGGGCUACACACGUGCUACAAUGGACAGAACAAAGGGCAGCGAAACCGCGAGGUUAAGCCAAUCCCACAAAUCUGUUCUCAGUUCGGAUCGCAGUCUGCAACUCGACUGCGUGAAGCUGGAAUCGC
rnacentral:rRNA from 1 species